rnacentral:rRNA from 1 species
CAGCCGCCGCGGUAAUACGUAGGGUGCAAGCGUUAAUCGGAAUUACUGGGCGUAAAGCGUGCGCAGGCGGCUAUAUAAGUCAGAUGUGAAAUCCCCGGGCUCAACCCGGGAACUGCAUUUGAGACUGUAUGGCUAGAGUGCGUCAGAGGGGGGGUAGAAUUCCACGUGUAGCAGUGAAAUGCGUAGAGAUGUGGAGGAAUACCGAUGGCGAAGGCAGCCCCCUGGGCCAAUACUGACGCUCAUGCACGAAAGCGUGGGGAGCAAACAGGAUUAGAUACCCCUGUAGUCCCUGUCUCUUAUU